GCUGCAUCAUCAACCAACUGGGUGGGUUGCCCUAGAAAUCCUCCCUCUAGUUCCUGCCCCCCGCACAGCUCCAGCUCGUUCUCUGGUUACUGCCCCUCUGCUCCAUCUCUGGCAUCUCUCUGGUCUGCCACAACUAAUGAUUAAUUCCUGGCAUCAUGUAACAAGCUGUGGAAGAAACUGAAAAUCCAGUCAUAAAAAAAGGACUCCAAAGGGCAGGAAUGUUACAUCAAAAUUUCCUAAGCAUAAGUAACUGCCCUCUCCCCAACCAAAAACUUCUUAGGUCUGUGGGAAGAAGAGAUGAAAGAAAGAUGGCCUUUUUACAAGAUCAGAAAAUUCCCAGGCAAUCAGUGUCUGGGCAGUGUCAGGGCAAUCAGAGUCUGAAGUGUCAAUCAUUUUUAUUUUUUUAAGCACUUUCUUGGAUGUUUUAUGAUUUGAAUGAUUCUGUUGUGAGUGUAAAAUAAUUGGCUUUUCCAUUUAAAAAAGCAAUAAUGUGUUUCUAGUAAAAAUGCUAGAUUAAAAA